rnacentral:rRNA from 1 species
GUUGGCGGCAGGCCUUAAACAUGCAAGUCGAACGGUAACAGCGGAGCUUGCUCCGGCUGACGAGUGGCGGACGGGUGAGUAACGCGUAGGAAUCUACCCAGUAGCGGGGGAUAGCCCGGGGAAACCCGGAUUAAUACCGCAUACGCCCUACGGGGGAAAGGGGGCCUCUUCAUGAAAGCUCUCACUAUUGGAGGAGCCUGCGUUGGAUUAGCUAGUUGGUGGGGUAAAAGCCUACCAAGGCGACGAUCCAUAGCUGGUCUGAGAGGACGAUCAGCCACACUGGAACUGAGACACGGUCCAGACUCCUACGGGAGGCAGCAGUUAGGAAUAUUGUGCAAUGGGGGAAACCCUGACACAGCCAUGCCGCGUGUGUGAAGAAGGCCCUAGGGUUGUAAAGCACUUUCAGUAGGGAGGAAUUAGCAAGGCUAAUACUCUUGUGAAAUGACGUUACCUACAGAAGAAGAUCCGGCUAA